rnacentral:rRNA from 1 species
AUUGAACGCUGGCGGCAUGCUUUACACAUGCAAGUCGAACGGCAGCGGGGUAGUGCUUGCACUACUGCCGGCGAGUGGCGAACGGGUGAGUAAUAUAUCGGAACGUACCGAGUAAUGGGGGAUAACCAAUCGAAAGAUUGGCUAAUACCGCAUACGUCCUGAGGGAGAAAGCGGGGGAUCGCAAGACCUCGCGUUAUUCGAGCGGCCGAUAACUGAUUAGCUAGUUGGUGGGGUAAAGGCCUACCAAGGCGACGAUCAGUAGCGGGUCUGAGAGGACGAUCCGCCACACUGGGACUGAGACACGGCCCAGACUCCUACGGGAGGCAGCAGUGGGGAAUUUUGGACAAUGGGGGCAACCCUGAUCCAGCCAUGCCGCGUGUAUGAAGAAGGCCUUCGGGUUGUAAAGUACUUUUGUUAGGGAAGAAACGGGAAGUGCUAAUACCACUUUUUGCUGACGGUACCUAAAGAAUAAGCACCGGCUAACUACGUG